rnacentral:rRNA from 1 species
UGGGGAAUCUUGCACAAUGGGGGCAACCCUGAUGCAGCGACGCCGCGUGAGCGAUGAAGCCCUUCGGGGCGUAAAGCUCUUUUGACCGGAACGAUAAUGACGGUACCGGGAGAAGAAGCUGCGGCUAACUACGUGCCAGCAGCCGCGGUAAUACGUAGGCAGCAAGCGUUGUUCGGAGUUACUGGGCGUAAAGAGUGCGUAGGCGGUUUUCUAAGUUCGGUGUGAAAUCUCCCGGCUUAACUGGGAGGGUGCGCCGAAGACUGGGAAGCUGGAGUGUGGGAAAGGCAGGCGGAAUUCCUGGUGUAGCGGUGAAAUGCGUAGAUAUCAGGAGGAACACCGGCGGUGUAGACGGCUUGCUAGACCAUAACUGACGCUGAGGCACGAAAGCGUGGGUAGCAAACA